rnacentral:lncRNA from 1 species
AAACACGAUCAUUUUUGUUUUAUAGAAAAACUAAUACAUGACAUGGGCAAUGUGUGUGACAAGUCAAUAGGUGAGUAUUCAAUGGCUCGUGGGUUAAUCAUUUCAUCAAGAUUUCUUUUACCACCUGACUUUUCAUCUAACAAAGGUGAAAAGCAUAAUCUUGCUUUUGAUUAAUGUAUGUUUAUUUUUUCUCUUUUUAUAAUUAUUAACUGAAAGGGUCUCAAAGGCUUUUCUCUUGAAGAGGAGUGUGUAUUUAAAGAAGUGAAGGCUCUAAAAACUAAGCUUACAAAGCUGGGAGGAUGUGUUAAAACUAGCAUUCUGACCAGAAUAAGGGUGGCAUAGUAGUGAUGGUAAAAUACUGCCAACGUGAUAAUUAAUUAAAUGGAUCUGCUAUGCAUUUCACCAUAAUAGUGCUAAGGCAUAAUGGCUGGCAUUUAUGGAUCAUAGCUUGAUAUGAAAUGAAAGACUGUGAUAUUAUUAAUUUUUUGGUUUUCAAGAAUGUUAGAAAUAUGAACCAGAAUAAGACCACGCAGCAAGCUCUUCUAAAAUGUCUCCAGAAGCUCAGAAAGUUGAUACAGGACAUUCAUAAGAAGGAUUUCAGAAUUUUAGAUCGGUUUUUGUCAUAUUAAGUAUUCAAGGAUUAUGAAGGAUGAUGUGUGACAUUUCACUGAGUCAAGAAAUUUCAACCUUUUGGAGGGAAAAAAAAAAAUCUGAUUCAUCCAAUGUUUUCAAUAAGCUGAUGAAAAGCUCAAUGCUGCAUCUGAAAAUCGAAUGCUAAGACUAUGGUGAGAGGAAUGACCUGUUUUGAUUGACUUGAUAUUUUGGUCCCUCUUUCAUCAAAUAUUGUUCUAUGUAGUCAUGUUUUAUCCAUCUUUACUUUAGGGUGAGGAUGAUUGUUUUUUCUAUGCGUAGGAUGCUUUGGUAUCUUUUAUCAAUUUUUUACGUUUGAUAAUGUGAUUGAGGUUUCGUCCGUAUUCAUUUUUCAAAUAAGUAGUGUGGCAAGUGUUGCUUGUAUAAAUAUCUAAUAAACUUUUAGUCCUUUUGGCCCUAAAUCUCACCAUUGAGAAUUUUGAAAAAUCUACCUUAGUCGACUGCUUGCACUCAAGGCAUUAAUUUAUGUUGUGACCCAGAUCCCGUCCCAAUUUUCAACCUGAAUCUAGACCAGAUCCAACUUGAAGCAGAUUUUCUACCUACUUAGUCCUGC